GAAACCAACUGUGACUCCAGCCCGGAAUUGUAUACAUAAGUAGCUCAAUAGAAAAGGGAGACCUGCGUGGGAAAGAGGCUCACACUGGAGAUGGGGACGGGGGGUGGGGAGGAGAGUAGCAUGUUGCCAUUGUGUGCAAGAAAAAGACAGGUUCUCAGCUAAGUGGCCCUGCGUGCACCUGCCCCUUGGCAGCUCCAAACCACCAGUGCAGAUUCAACUCAGGCUGCAUGGCCCAGCACACCAGCAGGGCAAGCCAGCUGCGUGCGGGCCCAUCCAGAUCAUUCUCUGUGUCUCCAGCCCGAAGAAGACAGCGAGGAGGGAGGGGGACAUGUCCACCCUCCUGGGGAAACAAUGGCCGCUUGCUCACCCCCAAAAACUCACAGUGGCCUGCACCCAGGUCCAUGCACCAGGCACACCCCCCAUCACGCCAUGCUGCCUUGCAAAGCCCGUUCCAGUUAUGUCCCCUCUGACAGCCAAGUCACAAAUGCACCAUUCUGGAGAGGAAAGGAGGGGACAUGGGGUGGGAUCAGCCGGGAGGUCCAGGGGCAUUGCCAUUUUUCUCCUGCCCCUGAGAGCAAGAUCAAAAAGGAAAACUGUGCCCCCUGGUAUUUUUGGGGGGAGGGAUGGCACUGCAAUAAAUCAGUAUCCCUGCUUCUCUGGCUCAGAGAAGCAGGCACAGCCAGCCUCGUGCGGCUCUGAUCUCUGCGGUCGCUGCCUUCCUGCUGUUCCUGUCUGUUCUUGUCCCUUCCCCCAGCUACCGUCCCAUCUCCUGACUUCCUUUCUCCUCUCUCUCCCUGCCCCCUCCCUCUGCUUCUGUCUGUCUCUUUCUCCCCCUUCCUCUUUCUCCUCUCUCUCCCUCCCCCUCCAACCCUGUUCUUUUUCCAUUCCUCUCUCUCUUUGUCUCUCAUUCUCUGCCGACUUUCCCCCCUCCCUUUCCCUCUCCCUCUCUCUCUCUCCCUGUCUCUCUGAUGUCAUCCACUCUUAUGAGCAGUGCAGUUCUCUCCUGCCCACCCUGAGGCCCUGGCCACAGGAUCACAAAGCCCCCUCCCCAAGGAAGGACCCGGGUGGGCUGCCUGGGCUCCUCAGCCAUCAGAGAGAGGCUGGAGGGGGCGGGGCUGGGGUGGGUGGGAGACACCCACAGACACGCAGGGACCACUGCCCUCCCUUUUCUCACUGGGAGCAGAAAGCCUGGAGCAGCCUACAGCACC
rnacentral:lncRNA from 1 species